AAGGGUUUCUUUUCUUUUCUGGUGAAACUAAGAAACCCUUUACUCACUGUGCGCCGCCACCUCUAUUUCUGUUUGCAGAUCUAUCAGUCUCUCAGAUCUGAUGUAGCUAGACACACCAACAAACGCUGCUCUCUCUCACUUGCUUUUUGUAAGAACAUGUCUUCUUCAUCACUAUCAUCCUAUUUAAUAUUUACUCAUUUUUUAUUAAUUCAUUCCAUUACUUGUAAAUAGGUUCACGUCCAAGCUCUGUCUAUUCCACCUUGAUCGAUUGGCCACCAAACAUGUCCACGCAGUUUCAGAACAAUCCUUCAAGGUAUCAGGGAUCUGAUACCGUGAAGAAGUUCAUGACAUCUCUGCAUCGAAUGUGAUUUCCUU
rnacentral:lncRNA from 1 species